GCUCACUAUUCUACGUAAUUGGCUCUUAUGAAAUUUUUCAAUCUGUUCCAUAUCCUCAGAUCUUGGGAAAGUCUAUUUUUGCUCUCUAAGGGCUUCUUACCCUCUGCCCUACCCCGUUUUAAGGAGAGAUCACUUACCUUUUUCCAUGGGGUAUAGGGGAGGUUGGUGUUCAUGUGGUAGCCAGCAGUAAGGGUCCCAACAGCAGAAGCAGCCACCUUCAGAUUACAACAGUGGAAUAUGGCCUUGUCCUGGAGGUCUGGGCUGGAGACAGGGACAGGGGUCCCUUUCCCUCUUCUGGCACUGAUGACCAAGGGGAGACCAGGGGCCAGGUCCAAUUAGGGGGCACUAGGCCUUAGUGAGAGUUCACAGGCCCCCAGAAUCCAGGCUGAGGUUUGGAUGUUUAUCCAGUUUGGGAAGGCUUCACAGAACACCCAGGGACAAGACUGGAGUUGGGACCCUAGCCCCUGGGCACUCAAGAGAUUACUCCAAAUAGACAUCAACAGAAGACAGCGAAAGAGAUCUGGCUCAUUCUAGACUUCACCAGUCUGGUCCUCUAAUGGGCCAUGAAGGCAGAGGGAUUCAGAGCCAGAUUAGACUUGGCAAGGUGACCAGAAUCCAGCCCUCCAAGGGUGGUUCUCAGAAAGAAGCAAAGACUCCUCUGUCCUUGGAGCUCCUUUACCCUGGGGAUUGAGACCUUGAUUAUUCAUGCAUCAGACUCCUGACUUCCUCAAAGCGCAUGUUAAAUUCAGAAUAUGAUAAAUGAGAAACCAAAUGGAAGGCUCACAGAACUACUUGGCUGCUAGGUGAAUUCCAGAGUCAUCAGGGAGUGUGAGGGUGGGUAAGGGCUUCUGUGCC
rnacentral:lncRNA from 1 species